GUUUGCCUACGGGGGGCAGCAGUGGGGAAUAUUGCACAAUGGGGGAAACCCUGAUGCAGCGACGCCGCGUGAGCGAAGAAGUAUUUCGGUAUGUAAAGCUCUAUCAGCAGGGAAGAAAAAAAUGACGGUACCUGAGUAAGAAGCACCGGCUAAAUACGUGCCAGCAGCCGCGGUAAUACGUAUGGUGCAAGCGUUAUCCGGAUUUACUGGGUGUAAAGGGAGCGUAGGCGGCGCGUUAAGUCUGAUGUGAAAACCCGAGGCUCAACCUCAUCCAGCCGUUGAAACUGGGGAUCUAGAGUGUGCGA
rnacentral:rRNA from 1 species